GUUUGAUCCCAUUUCCAACCUCAAAUUCCUCCUCCUCCUCUUUCAAUCCUAUCAAUGGAACCUCACCAAUUCCUCAUCUUAUUCACUGAAACUACUUGAUAUGUCUUCUCAGCCGCCGACGCCACCACAACCGCCGCAUCUCCACAAGAAACCCACUUCCUUCCCUGACGUUAUCUUCACUGCCUUUUCUCUCUUCGUUAUCUUUUCUUCUUCAAACCCUACUACUUCCCUUCUACGUAAAUUUACCCCUCUUGUUUCUUUUCCUUUAAACCCACGUAGAUUUCUCAGAAUUCCCACUAUGUCAAACCCAUCUCCCAGUAAUCUUCGUAACCCUAUUCAUCACUUCCCCAAUCCCCAAUCACUCUCCGAUUGGCUAAGGCCGCGUAUGCCUUCUGAUUCUUUUGCUUCUUGGGGUGUCAAGCCGGGAACCAAGAAUGUUAGUAAUCUCUGGCUUGAGUUGUCUGAAGGGGAGACUUUGCUGGCUGAUUCUACGCCGCCGGUUCGAACUGUUGAGGUUAUGGUUGUUAAGGUUAUUGGAAAAGACAAUAAGGUCCUUGUUGAAUCGCACCAAGAAUUGUCGGAUGGUGCUGUUAGGCAUAGAUGUCGGCCGUUGUCGGAGAAGAUGAAACCUGGCGAGACAGUUGAAGAUGCGGUUUUUCGUGCUGUGAAAGAAGAGCUUGGUUCAGUGCUUGGUGGGUCUUUCGGUCAGCUCAGAGAGAAUGGCAUUGUUAAGAUUUUGCCCAAUUCGUAUUCGAAGAAGGUGGAGGAAAGGGUUUCAGCGUCUUAUCCUGGAUUGCCUGCUUGUUAUGUGUUGCAUACAGUGGAGGCUGCAGUGGAUGGUUUGCCUGAGGAGGAGUUUUGCACAGAAGAGACUGAUGAAUAUGGAGAUUCUAGUGAGAGGAUGGUCAUAAAUGGUGCAGUUUCCUGUAAAAAGCAUUACUGGAAGUGGGUUGAUGCUGAUUCGUUGUGAUCGGUGAGUUUGAGCUCUUGUCCUUCCAAGAUUGAAUUUUUGACUACUAUAUACAUGGUUCAAUAAUAAAGAUGGCUUCCCAGAGACUUGCGGUUGAGUGUCUUUAUACUUCUAUAGGAUAUUUAGAUACAGUUACAUUGCUUGAGUUAGCUUUCUAUUCAUUGUUAAUAUUCAUUCCAGGUAUUGAGGAUUUAAUAUUUACUGCGUCUAUAUCUUUAUAACAGCGAGAGCUUCUUGUAUUGUCCUGAUUUCUGAGACAGGAUGACAUUUGAAA
rnacentral:misc_RNA from 1 species